UAUGAACCCCUACACCCUACCUGAGAGACCCAUAUUUUUACUCCAUAAUCACUUCAAAAGUAGAUGAGCUGCACAUUCAGAGAAGCAUGUCAAGGAAACAUUACUGAAUGCUCCUCCCAUCCCUGAGAAGAAUAUAUUCGGUACACUUCAUCACUCGGGCCAGAGAGAAGCUUAUUCUUUUGCUGUCCAAAGUAGUUGCCAUCAGUAGGUUCAACAGGGAAUGAAAAUGCUGUACCUCGUUCUGUUAUUAGGCUGUUUCUUACCACUGGGAGAAAUAGCCAUUGCAGCAUUAACAACCCCAACGGCGACAUCAUCAACCACCCCAACGAGCCCAAUGUCGGCAUCAUCAACCACCUCAACGACCCCAACUUCGACAUCAUCAACCACCCCAACGACCGCAACAUCGGCAUCAUCAACCACCUCAACGACCCCAACUUCGACAUCAUCAACCACCCCAACGAGCCCAAUGUCGGCAUCAUCAACCACCUCAACGACCCCAACUUCGACAUCAUCAACCACCCCAAGGACCCCAACGUCGACAUCAUCAACCACCCCAACGAGCCCAAUGUCGACAUCAUCAACCAC